UACGUAGGGGGCAAGCGUUGUCCGGAAUCAUUGGGCGUAAAGAGCGCGUAGGCGGCCCUGUAAGUCCGCUGUGAAAGUCAAGGGCUCAACCCUUGGAUGGCGGUGGAUACUGCAGGGCUAGAGUCCGGAAGAGGCGAGUGGAAUUCCUGGUGUAGCGGUGAAAUGCGCAGAUAUCAGGAGGAACACCGAUGGCGAAGGCAGCUCGCUGGGACGGUACUGACGCUGAGGCGCGAAAGCGUGGGGAGCGAACAGG
rnacentral:rRNA from 1 species